rnacentral:lncRNA from 1 species
CUGUGCCCUCUGCCUGGGAGCCUGGGGCCGCCUGUCUGCGCGGUCCGGAUGCGCUCAGGUCAAGGUUCCUUUCGCGGCUGUCUCCCAAGCCCCUAACUAGUGACUUCCACUGUGGCGGGCAGGGAAGCCAUUGGCAGAACCUAGCCAGUCAGGAAUCUGCAUCUCUUCCCUCAUUAUCCUCUCCCUGGCAUUGCUUUGCUCGGGUCCAGCUCAGUUGGUGACGCGGCCCCUUCUCCCCAGGUUCCCAUCCACGGAAGCAGGGGUGCAGGCCGGCCAGGCACUGUGCCAUGAGCCAGAGCCCGAGGUUCGUGACCCGGAGGGGCGGCUCUCUAAAGGCUGCCCCUGGAGCCGGCACCCGGCGCAACGAGAGCCAGGACUAUUUGCUGAUGGACGAGCUGGGAGACGACGGCUACCCGCAGCUCCCGCUGCCACCGUAUGGCUACUACCCCAGCUUGUAAGUAUGGGCGAGGGCAGCACGGGUUGCAGGAGUGGGUCCCGUGCGCGCCUCAACAGCCAUGUGUCUCCAGACUUCCAGACAAGCGAGGGGUGCUAGCGCAGAUGGGACGAGGCUGGCUGCUGGUGAGCACUCAAAGGCUGCGCUCACCCUCAGAUUGAGCCCAUGUGGUUCCCUCCCCACUACUCCUGUUGGGAUACCAGGUCACCACAGGGGAUCUAAUGCUUGUCACCACAGGGGGAAGGAGAGCUAUGCUUGGUCAAUGUCUACAGCUCCUGCUACCUUGAGGAACUCUGCUCAACAGGCACGAUCUGAUCAGGUUCCAGUUUUUGCUCCAGUGAUACCUUUUGUGUGAUCAGAACUCUAAGGGUCUUUGAAGAAACCCACCAUAGUGCACUCUCUAGUUCUACCAAGUCCUCUGGUCUUGAGCACGGAUUACUUAGGGAGAGAAUGGGCAACCUCCUUCUCACCCUGGAGCUGAGAUUAAACGGGGGAGAUAGACCUCAGGAUUUUGUACCCAUAGGAUAGAAAAACAGAGACCAGCUCUUUACUAGUGGCAUCUCAAUAACUACGAGCCUUUUUUAACAACAACAGCACCAGCAGCAACAACAACAACUGACCCCCACUCCCCUCCCAUGAGGUUGGUGACAGUGGUGCUGUGAAGGGACAGACAGCAGAUAAUAGAAUGGAGAAACAAAGUCUUCCUUUCUCUUUUGCCCCUGGCAGGCUGUGAGCACUUGUGUAGUAGACCUACAGUAUUUCUGGCUCUUUACACCUUCCCUUAAUCUCUGCUUGACCGAAUACCCAGGUUUCCUGGCCUGUCACAGCCUUCCGCAAGCUGUUUCCUAGGAAAGCCUUUAUCAGUUUGGUUAGUUCUUCUAGAGUAUGGAGGGGUGGUGAUAUCCAACCCACCUCCAUUGGGGGGUGAGGGGGCUGGCAUACCCUGAUGACUUAGCUUGGCUUUUAGAGCUGUGAUCAGGGCUGAGAGAGUCAAAGCCUGCUGUGGUUUAUUUUCUUGGUGAGAGCUGAGCCCCCAGGAAAUGGGGCAUCUACAUUUUCUUGAGG